rnacentral:rRNA from 1 species
GACGAACGCUGGCGGCGUGCUUAACACAUGCAAGUCGAACGGUGAUGCUCCAGCUUGCUGGUGUGGAUCAGUGGCGAACGGGUGAGUAACACGUGAGCAACCUGCCCCAGACUCUGGAAUAAGCGCUGGAAACGGCGUCUAAUACUGGAUACGAAACUGGCCCGCAUGGGCAUGGUUUGGAAAGUUUUUCGGUUUGGGAUGGGCUCGCGGCCUAUCAGCUUGUUGGUGAGGUAAUGGCUCACCAAGGCGACGACGGGUAGCCGGCCUGAGAGGGCGACCGGCCACACUGGGACUGAGACACGGCCCAGACUCCUACGGGAGGCAGCAGUGGGGAAUAUUGCACAAUGGGCGAAAGCCGGAUGCAGCGACGCCGCGUGAGGGAUGACGGCCUUCGGGUUGUAAACCUCUUUCAGCAGGGAAGAAGCGAAAGUGACGGUACCUGCAGAAGAAGCACCGGCUAACUACGUG